rfam:Dictyocaulus viviparus strain HannoverDv2000 D_viviparus-1.0_Cont743.3, whole genome shotgun sequence.
AGCUUUGCGCAGUGGCGGUAAUGUGACCAAUGAGGCUUUGCCGAGGUGCGUUUAUUGCUGGUUGAAAACUUUUCCCAAUCGCCUGCGAUGGACCCUAAAACACGGAGCCAUGCGCAAUUUUUGAAUGCCCUAAGGG